UAACGUCAUGUUCAUCGGCCAAUUAAAAGUCAACCAUUUCUCCUUCGUUUGUUCACUAUUAGUAUAGCGACUCCAUUAUGCGAAUACUACGAGAUUAUUUAUGAGUAGUUUUCUGUUUCUUAUUAAAAAAAAAAAAAAAAAAAUUAUAAAAAGAAAGAUUUAUCAGGUUAUUAGUAUUUUAUACAUAUAAAAAUGAUGGAUUGAUUUAUUAUGAAUAAGUUAAAAAUAAUUACACCAGAGAACAUCUGCUGAACUAGGAAUUUGAAAUAGAGGGUAAAAGCUCCUUAUAGGCACUCUUUCUUCCUUUGGAUCCGCGUCUGCUAGAGUACGAUACCGAUGGCGUAACAAAGAGUAAAAAUUCAUUUUUUAUUGAACUAUUCGUCAGCAUAUUAAUAAUAUUAUUUUAAUUUAAUGAGAGACAUGCUUUACUCGCGCGGAAAAUGUAAAUUACCAAGUAAAAAUUAAUAUAAUUACGCAGAUUGAUCCAUUUAUCACGUUUUAGCUAUUAUUUUAGAAGUGCAUUUUAAUUUUUUUCAAUCGUUGUAGAAUCUUUUAAAGGACCUCGUAAAGAUAUUUGUAUUUUCUGUCCGGCUAUUGAAUAGCAACAAGGACAUUCGGCAUUUCGAUGCUUGCCUACUCUUUGGUUGAGUUCGAGGCAAAGAAACCUAUUAUCCAUUUUCUAUUAUAAAGGAGAGUAUUUACUAAGAUUUAUUCGAAAAAUGUUUUGAAUAUUUUUAUUUUUCAUCGAGAUAUGCGUGUUUCAAUUUAACUUAAUUUCUCUUGAUUUUAACCGUUAACAGCUUAAUCGGUAAAUCCGAUAUUAGUGUUAUCAGAGUGGGAUUUAUGAGAGGUGGACUGAGUCGGCUGUAACCUAAAGGCUCUCACAGUUUUGUAAUUAUUUAUUGACAAUUAUAGGG